rnacentral:RNase_P_RNA from 1 species
AGGGUGAAAGGGUGCGGUAAGAGCGCACCGCACCUCUGGUAACAGAGUGUGGCAAGGUAAACUCCACCCGGAGCAAGACCAAAUAGGAUCCCUCAACGUGUGGCCCGCAUGGGGAUCGGGUAGGUUGCUUGAAUCAGUGAGCGAUUGCUGAUCUAGAGGAAUGGUUGCCCACGACAGAACCCGGCUUACGGCCAACUCCACUC